AAUCUAACAAGGAUUCCCCUAGUAACGGCGAGUGAACCGGGAAGAGCUCAAAUUUGAAAUCUGGCGUGCUCAGUGCGUCCGAGUUGUAAUCUAUAGAGUCGUUUUCCGUGCCGGACUGUGUCCAAGUCCCUUGGAACAGGGUAUCAAAGAGGGUGAUAAUCCCGUACUUGACACAAUGACCGGUGCUCUGUGAUACGUCUUCUACGAGUCGAGUUGUUUGGGAAUGCAGCUCAAAAUGGGUGGUGAGUUCCAUCUAAAGCUAAAUAUUGGCGAGAGACCGAUAGCGAACAAGUACCGUGAGGGAAAGAUGAAAAGCACUUUGGAAAGAGAGUUAAACAGUACGUGAAAUUGUUAAAAGGGAAACGAUUGAAGUCAGUCGUGACUGAGAGGCUCAGCCGGUUCUGCCGGUGUAUUCCCCUCAGUCGGGUCAACAUCAGUUUUGUUCGGUGGAUAAGGGCAGUUGGAAGGUGGCACCCUCGGGUGUGUUAUAGCCAGCUGUCGCAUACAUCGGAUGAGACUGAGGAAUGCAGCUCGCCUUUAUGGCCGGGGUUCGCCCACGUUCGAGCUUAGGAUGUUGACAUAAUGGCUUUAAACGAC
rnacentral:rRNA from 1 species